ensembl:lncRNA
CCACAUAAAGGGAUUAAAAAGUUGUCACAUCCACCACCAUGCCACCAGAGGGCAACCUUCCCCAAAUUUUAGAACUCUUCCUCAUUCCCUACACGUAUUUACUGUCCCAAUCAUUCAUUCAUCCAUCCACUUUCUGUACCGCUUAUCAUUACUGGGUCACAAGGAACCUGAAGCCUAUCCCAGGGAGCAUGGGGAACAAGGCAGGGUACACCCUGGACGGCGUGCCAAUCCAUUGCAGGGCUCAAUAACACACACAUCACACACCCAUUCAUACACUACGGACCAUUUGGACAUGACAAUCAGCCUACAAUGCAUGUCUUUGGACUGGGGGAGGAAACCGGAGUACCCAGAGGAAACCCCUGAAGCACGGGCGAGAACGUGCAAACUCCACACACACAGGGUGGGAAUCAAACCCCCGACCCUGGAGCUGUGAGACAAACACGCUAACCACUAAGCCACCAUGCCCCCUGUCCCAAGCAUAUAUAAAACAAAUGGACACUAAUGCAUGUUUGAUCUUUGUGUAUGCUUCUUGUUCUUUCAUGGUAUCUCAUUUAUGCUCAUCAAAUCACUGCAAAACCCUGAUGUCCUGUGCUCUCCAUGGUUAACCACUCAUGAACCAAACAUAACGUGGAAUGAAGUCAUCAAAGCUGGGGUUCCUGUAGAUCUCCAUAUUUUUCUCCAUCAUCUCCCUGUUCUCCAUCAAUGAUCUGGGUAGGAACUCACAAAUGGAACUGAUUUUUUAUAAAUUUUUUUGUUUCACUUACGACAACUGUGCACUGUGUGCAUGCUUUAAUACAGAAACUUCAUUUUAUUUACAUAAACAAGCUAAUGGAGAUCAUUAAUCAUUAAUUAAUGCGUGAGAAAGAUGAAGUACAUCAGAUAAUAUGUGGAUAGUGUUCUUCAUCGGCUUAUAGUGUGAAAACUACAAUAAACUGGAAUAAAUCAUGUUUUAUUCAGAUUGACUAGCACUUUAUGUAAAAUUAUUCUGAACAGUUUAUAACUGAAUAUAACUUUGUGUUGGACAAACCAUCUGUAGUAAAGUUUGUAAAGUUUAAUAUAAAUGUGUAGUUUGUAAUAUAAAGCUAAAUGUAAAGAUCUG